UCUUUAGGUUUAACCCUACCCGUUUCAUAAUCUAAUCUUGCUCAAUUUGGUUUUAUCCAUUUCUCGAUCUUGAGCUCCUUCAUUGUUCUCUCUGAUCGAACUUCUCCAUGACCUGAUUGUUGUUUCCGAUGUGGAAUUUAGAUCAUUUUCAUGCAUGGAUUUAUGAAGCUCCACCACACCACGAAGGAGCACAUGCUAGGCCUCAUCGAAACGCUAGAUCUAAUUUCUCCUACCAGAUCAACGAUCUAGCAAGGCAGCGGCGCACCGACCCAUAGACUGCAGAUGCUGGUUGAUUAGUUGCAGAGAGACAUGAAGGGCAUCGGAUGGGGAUCAUGCCAUGUGGCAGCACUUGACUGGCGGAAUGAUGUCUCUAUAGUGGUCAGGAAGAAGAUAUCAGGUCUGGAGCGGAGGGGGAGACCUCCAAAGAAUAAGAAGGCCCAAAUCAUUCAGUGUGAUGGACAAUGGAAGGGAGAGCAUCUACACAAAUGUGAGAAUAUAACUCUUGGUCUUGUUUUAUAGUGUGACGUAACACAAUAGAAUUUGAACUUAUGUUUGUGCAUAUUCAUGGCAAUUUUUUUAUUUUUUUGUGGAUAUUGGUAGGUUUUCUUUAUUCAUUCUAUGUAAUCCAUCUAAUCAUGGUGAUCAACUUAAGGUAUGCAAAUAUGAUAGAUCUUUCUUGGUGAA